GGUUUCGUGGUGUAGUUGGUUAUCACGUCAGUCUAACAGUUCGAGGUUCGAGUCUCGCCUGGUUCACUGAAGGUCUCCGGUUCAAGUCCGGGCGAAAUCA